GAUGAACGCUAGCGGCAGGCCUAAUACAUGCAAGUCGAACGGUGUCUUCGGACAUAGUGGCGCACGGGUGCGUAACACGUAUGCAACCUACCUUACAUUGGGGGAUAGCCUUUCGAACGGGAGAUUAAUACCGCAUAAGACAGUAGCUGGGCAUCCAGCAGCUGUUAAAGAUUUAUCGAUGUAAGCUGGGCAUGCGUCCAAUUAGCUAGUUGGUGAGGUAACGGCUUACCAAGGCAAUGAUUGGUAGGGGAACUGAGAGGUCAAUCCCCCACACUGGCACUGAGAUACGGGCCAGACUCCUACGGGAGGCAGCAGUAGGGAAUAUUGGGCAAUGGACGCAAGUCUGACCCAGCCAUGCCGCGUGCAGGAUGAAGGCGUUAUGCGUUGUAAACUGCUUUUAUACAGGAAGAAACGACCCUUGCGAGAGGCAUUGACGGUACUGUAUGAAUAAGCACCGGCUAACUCCGUGCCAGCCGCCGCAGUAACAC
rnacentral:rRNA from 1 species